AGCAAAUUAUGCGGGGUGCAUUUAUGGGAGGGUUUAUGCAGGGCGAGUUGAAAACAGCAAAUUAUGCUAUGCGGGUUUACGCGGGUUUUCCCCGCAACCGCACCGUAUGCCAUCCCUAAAUUAGACAGAAUAACUUCAACAUUUUCAACAGCUAUGGUGGUCAAUACACUAACCUUAGAGUAGUCAGCAGCAAAGUUUUCCCCAAGCAAAUUCUUAACUCUAUCAGGUGAAAGCAUACUACCGAACCACAGGACAAAACGAAAACCAUCAUCAUAGAGAUAGAGACCUUGAGGAUCUAAACUCCCUGCAGCAAGCGGAAGCCCUUUCCAGAUGUCUUUAUCUUUAGAAUCCUCGGCCAGAGAUGUUUUCUGAAAAAAGAUAUUCAUCUAUACGAAUCAACUGAGGAUAAAGAAGUUUCAACAUUUUUUUAACAGGCAAAGCCAUCAUGGUAUAUCCAGCAGCGCAGCGUUCAUCAGGCUGAGCAUCAGCAUAUCCACCACGGAGG